GGUUAGAGCACUGGUUGCUUUCAACUGAAAGACCCCCGAAGGGAGCCCCCCACUCAAGUCUCGGGAAAGACGCGCACCCAGUAGGACACAGACACCG
rnacentral:pre_miRNA from 14 species